rnacentral:rRNA from 1 species
GAUGAACGCUGGCGGCGUGCCUAAUACAUGCAAGUCGAGCGAACAGACCAGGAGCUUGCGCCUCUGACGUUAGCGGCGGACGGGUGAGUAACAUGUGUAUAACCUACCUAUCAGACUGGGAUAAUUUCGGGAAACCGGAUCUUAUAACGGAUAAUAUAUUGAACCGGGUUGUGCAAUAGUGAAAGUCGGUUUUUGUUUCGCUAAUAGCUGGAUCCGGGCCGGAUUAGUUAGUUGGUAAGGUAACGGCUUACCAAGGCGAGGAUGCGUAGCCGACCUGAGCGGGGGGUCGCCCACACGGGAACUGAGACAGGGUCCCGACUCCUGCGGUAGGCAGCAGUAGGGAAUCUUACGCAAUGGGGGAGAGCCUGACAGAGCAACGGCGCGUGAGUGAUGAAGGUGUUCGGAUCGGAAAGCUCUGUUAUUAGUGGAGAACAAAUGUGUAAGUAACCGUGCACGUCUUGACGGUACCGGGUCAAAAAGCCACGGCUAACUACGUG